rnacentral:rRNA from 1 species
GAUAAACGCUGGCGGCGUGCCUAACACAUGCAAGUCGAACGGCAGCACGGGUGCUUGCACCUGGUGGCGAGUGGCGAACGGGUGAGUAAUGCAUCGGAACGUGCCUAUUAGUGGGGGAUAACGCUUCGAAAGGAGUGCUAAUACCGCAUAAUCUCUGAGGAGGAAAGCAGGGGACCUUCGGGCCUUGCGCUGAUAGAGCGGCCGAUGUCGGAUUAGCUAGUUGGUGAGGUAAAGGCUCACCAAGGCGACGAUCCGUAGCGGGUCUGAGAGGAUGAUCCGCCACACUGGGACUGAGACACGGCCCAGACUCCUACGGGAGGCAGCAGUGGGGAAUUUUGGACAAUGGGCGCAAGCCUGAUCCAGCCAUGCCGCGUGAGUGAAGAAGGCC